GACGAACGCUGGCGGUGUGCUUCACACAUGCAAGUCGAACGAGGUAGCAAUACCUAGUGGCGGACGGGUGAGUAACGCGUGGGAAUCUGCCUUUAGAUGGGGGAUAACGGGUCGAAAGACUCGCUAAUACCGCAUAUGACGAAAGUUGAAAGGAGUAAUCCGUCUAAAGAUGAGCCCGCGUCCGAUUAGCUAGUUGGUAGAGUAAAAGCCUACCAAGGCGACGAUCGGUAGCUGGUCUGAGAGGAUGAUCAGCCACAAUGGGAACUAGAGACACGGCCCAUACUCCUACGGGAGGCAGCAGUGGGAUUUACGCAAUGGGCGAAAGCCUGACGUAGCGACACCGCGUGAGCGAAGAAGCCCCUUGGGUGUAAAGCUCUGUCAGCUGGAACCGAAAAAAAUAGACGGUACCAGCAGAGGAAGCAUCGGCUAACUAACGUGCCAGCAG
rnacentral:rRNA from 1 species